rnacentral:ncRNA from 1 species
AUAUGACACUCCGCUACGGUUGCCGGUCUGGCAGCCUCCUUCGGUCGCGGCGCAAUGAC